AUUGAACGCUGGCGGCAUGCUUUACACAUGCAAGUCGAACGGUAACAGGCCUUCGGGUGCUGACGAGUGGCGAACGGGUGAGUAAUGCAUCGGAACGUACCCAGAGGUGGGGGAUAACGCAGCGAAAGCUGUGCUAAUACCGCAUGUGAUCUGAGGAUGAAAGCGGGGGACCGAGCAGCAAUGUUUGGCCUCGCGCCUUUGGAGCGGCCGAUGUCGGAUUAGCUAGUUGGUGGGGUAAAGGCCUACCAAGGCGACGAUCCGUAGCUGGUCUGAGAGGACGACCAGCAAAACGGGGAAGGGAAAAGGGCCCAAACCCCUAGGGGAGGAAGGAGGGGGGAAUUUGGGAAAAUGGGCGAAAGCCUGAUCCAGCAAGGCCGGGGGGGGGAAGAAGGCCUUGGGGUUGUAAACCGCUUUUGGAAGGAACGAAACGGGGUCCGAUAAUACCGGGCGUUAAUGACGGUACCUGCAAAAUAAGCAACGGCUAACUACGU
rnacentral:rRNA from 1 species